UCGGGAAUUUUGCACAAUGGCCGAAAGGCUGAUGCAGCAACGCCGCGUGAGCGAAGAAGGCCUUCGGGUUGUAAAGCUCUGUUGCCUGCGAAGAAGGGCCCUGUCAGGAAAUGGGCGGGGUUUGACGGUAGCAGGCGAGGAAGCCCCGGCAAACUACGUGCCAGCAGCCGCGGUAAUACGUAGGGGGCGAGCGUUGUCCGGAAUUACUGGGCGUAAAGGGCGUGUAGGCGGCCUGUUAAGUCAGGGGUGAAAGACCGGGGCUCAACCCAGGGGGUGCCUCUGAAACUGGCGGGCUUGAGUGCUCUAGAGGGCAGUGGAAUUCCCGGUGUAGCAGUGAAAUGCGUAGAGAUCGGGAGGAACACCAGUGGCGAAGGCGGCUGCCUGGGGAGUCACUGACGCUGAGGCGCGAAAGCUAGGGGAGCAAACAGG
rnacentral:rRNA from 1 species